rnacentral:rRNA from 1 species
UACAGAGGUCCCAAGCGUUGUUCGGAUUCAUUGGGCGUAAAGGGUGCGUAGGCGGCGCGGUAAGUCGGGUGUGAAUCUCGGGGCUUAACUCCGAAACUGCAUUCGAUACUGCCGUGCUUGAGGACUGGAGAGGAGACUGGAAUUUACGGUGUAGCGGUGAAAUGCGUAGAUAUCGUAAGGAAGACCAGUGGCGAAGGCGGGUCUCUGGACAGUUCCUGACGCUGAGGCACGAAGGUCAGGGGAGCAAACGGG